GUUUGAAUCGUUUGAGUCAGUCAAAAGACGCCAUGUCUGUUUUCAUUUUUCUGUGCAGUUGUGCAAAAUAAUGUUAUUAUUAUUAAUGCAAAAUUUCCCGAAAUUUCGAAGCAGCGCCGAAAAUUAAGUGCCUAUGACCAUGACUUACAAGCGGGAGCGGCAGACGAUUUUCGCCCAAAAGUGUGCAGUCGUUUUGAAUUUGUAUGCAAAUUUUCCCGAAAUCCGGAAACAGCGUCGCACUUUAAGUGCCUAUUUGGAACUUGCCGUCAAAACUCACGAACUGCGGUUGAUUUCCGGAGAGUUUGCUGCCAUGUAAUUCCGGAAGCCAGGGAUCAUAGGCAAUUACGAGUUCGAAGGAUAACGAUUCAAUGGAUGUAAUACUGCUGCUGCCUCGGCUGCUGCAAUACGGCUUCGAAGCGCCUCCGAACGCGAAGCGAUUUCAGCCAGACAUGAGCUACCCUGGGUCUGCGGAUCGAUACUGGAUUCCUGAUGUUUUUCAAUAUACUCGCUUUAAUAUGUAUAGCCGUUGCAUCUGAUCAACCGGCGAUAGAUCUGCUGAUGCAGUAAAAAAAUAUAUAGUAUGUAUUUGUCUUGCA